rnacentral:rRNA from 1 species
AUUGAACGCUGGCGGCAUGCCUUACACAUGCAUGUCGAACGGCAGCACGGGGCAACCUGGUGGCGAGUGGCGAACGGGUGAGUAAUGCAUCGGAACGUACCUUUCAGUGGGGGAUAACGUAGCGAAAGUUACGCUAAUACCGCAUAUUCUGUGAGCAGGAAAGCAGGGGAUCGCAAGACCUUGCGCUGAUUGAGCGGCCGAUGUCAGAUUAGCUAGUUGGUGAGGUAAAGGCUCACCAAGGCGACGAUCUGUAGCGGGUCUGAGAGGCUGAUCCGCCAAACUGGAACGGAGACACGGUCCAGACUCCUACGGGAGGCAGCAGUGGGGAAUUUUGGACAAUGGGGGCAACCCUGAUCCAGCCAUGCCGCGUGAGUGAAGAAGGCCUUCGGGUUGUAAAGCUCUUUCGGCCGGGAAGAAAUCGCACGGUCUAAUACCCUGUGUGGAUGACGGUACCGGAAUAAGAAGCACCGGCUAACUACGUGCCAGCCGCCGCUGUAACAC